rnacentral:rRNA from 1 species
AUUGAACGCUGGCGGCAGGCUUAACACAUGCAAGUCGAGCGGAGAUGAGGUGCUUGCACCUUAUCUUAGCGGCGGACGGGUGAGUAAUGCUUAGGAAUCUGCCUAUUAGUGGGGGACAACAUUCCGAAAGGAAUGCUAAUACCGCAUACGUCCUACGGGAGAAAGCAGGGGAUCUUCGGACCUUGCGCUAAUAGAUGAGCCUAAGUCGGAUUAGCUAGUUGGUGGGGUAAAGGCCUACCAAGGCGACGAUCUGUAGCGGGUCUGAGAGGAUGAUCCGCCACACUGGGACUGAGACACGGCCCAGACUCCGACGGGAGGCAGCAGUGGGGAAUAUUGGACAAUGGGGGGAACCCUGAUCCAGCCAUGACGCGUGUGUGAAGAAGGCCUUAUGGUUGUAAAGCACUUUAAGCGAGGAGGAGGCUACUGAGACUAAUACUCUUGGAUAGUGGACGUUACUCGCAGAAUAAGCACCGGCUAACUCUGUGCCAGCCGCCGCCGUAAUAC